UACGUAGGGGGCGAGCGUUGUCCGGAUUCAUUGGGCGUAAAGAGCUCGUAGGCGGCUUGGCAAGUCGGGUGUGAAAACUCCAGGCUCAACCUGGAGACGCCACCCGAUACUGCUAUGGCUAGAGUUCUGGAGGGGAUAGCGGAAUUCCUGGUGUAGCGGUGAAAUGCGUAGAUAUCAGGAGGAACACCGGUGGCGAAGGCGGCGAGCUGGAUCACUACUGACGCUGAAGAACGAAAGCUAGGGGAGCAAACAGG
rnacentral:rRNA from 1 species